CCUCUUGCUCUGGGCCCAGCACCUGUGGGUUUUCCUAGACUUCAAACUUUAACAGGCAUCUGGUUCUUUCUUCAGGGCCAUAGAAUUAAGCUGGCUCAUUCGUUCCUCUUAAAUAAGACAUCUUGAUGCACUGAUAAGUAAUCAGCCUACUGGGGAAAAACCAGCAA